rnacentral:rRNA from 1 species
GAUGAACGCUGGCGGCGUGCUUAACACAUGCAAGUCGAACGGAAAGGCUCCUGCUUGCAGGGGUACUCGAGUGGCGAACGGGUGCGUAACACGUGGGUGAUCUGCCCUGCACUUCGGGAUAAGCCUGGGAAACUGGGUCUAAUACCGGAUAGGACAAUGGUUUGGAUGCAAUUGUGGAAAGUUUUUCGGUGUGGGAUGAGCAGUGGGCCUAUCAGCUUGUUGGUGGGGUAAUGGCUUACCAAGGCGUCGACGGGUAGCCGGCCUGGGAGGGUGGACGGCCACAUUGGGACUAAGGGACGGACCAGACGGCUAUGGGGGGCAGCAGGGGGGAAUAUUGCACAGUGGGCGCAAGUCUGAUGCAGCGACGCUGCGUGGGUGAUGACGGCCUGCGGGUUGUAAACUGCUUUCGCUUAGGACGAAGCGGUAGUGACGGUACCUGGAGAAGAAGCACCGGCUAACUACGUG